rnacentral:rRNA from 1 species
AUUGAACGCUGGCGGCAGGCCUAACACAUGCAAGUCGAGCGCGAAAACACUUCGGUGUGAGUAGAGCGGCGGACGGGUGAGUAACGCGUAGGAAUCUACCUAGUAGUGGGGGACAACUCGGGGAAACUCGAGCUAAUACCGCAUAAGCCCUACGGGGGAAAGCGGGGGACCUUCGGGCCUCGCGCUAUUAGAUGAGCCUGCGUUGGAUUAGCUAGUUGGUGGGGUAAAGGCCUACCAAGGCGACGAUCCAUAGCUGGUCUGAGAGGAUGAUCAGCCACACCGGGACUGAGACACGGCCCGGACUCCUACGGGAGGCAGCAGUGGGGAAUAUUGCGCAAUGGGCGAAAGCCUGACGCAGCCAUGCCGCGUGUGUGAAGAAGGCCUUCGGGUUGUAAAGCACUUUCAAUUGGGAGGAAAGGUUCACGGUUAAUAACCGUGAGCUGUGACGUUACCUUUAGAAGAAGCACCGGCUAACUCCGUGCCAGCAGCCGCGGUAAUACGGAGGGUGCGAGCGUUAAUCGGAAUUACUGGGCGUAAAGCGCGCGUAGGUGGUCUGUUAAGUCGGAUGUGAAAGCCCCGGGCUCAACCUGGGAACUGCAUUCGAUACUGGCAGACUAGAGUGCGAGAGAGGGAGGUAGAAUUCCAUGUGUAGCGGUGAAAUGCGUAGAUAUGUGGAGGAAUACCAGUGGCGAAGGCGGCCUCCUGGCUCGACACUGACACUGAGUUCCAAA